UGGGAAUUUUCCGCAAUGGGCGAAAGCCUGACGGAGCAAUGCCGCGUGGAGGUGGAAGGCCUACGGGUCGUCAACUUCUUUUCUCGGAGAAGAAACAAUGACGGUAUCUGAGGAAUAAGCAUCGGCUAACUCUGUGCUAG
rnacentral:rRNA from 1 species